GAUGAAGAACGUAGCGAAAUGCGAUAAGUAAUGUGAAUUGCAGAAUUCAGUGAAUCAUCGAAUCUUUGAACGCACAUUGCGCCCGCCAGUAUUCUGGCGGGCAUGCCUGUUCGAGCGUCAUUUCAACCAUCAAGCCCCAGGCUUGUGUUGGGGACCUGCGGCUGCCGCAGGCCCUGAAAACCAGUGGCGGGCUCGCUGUCACACCGGGCGUAGUAGAUUUUAUCUCGCUCAGGGCGUGCUGCGGGUUCCGGCCGUUAAAAAGCCUUUUUUACCCAAGGUUGACCUCGGAUCAGGUAGGAAGACCCGCUGAACUUAAGCAUAUCAAUAACGGAGGA
rnacentral:misc_RNA from 1 species